ensembl:lncRNA
GGGGGGUUACGGGGUCAGCUGGGGGGUUAUGGGGUGGGUUAUGGGGUUAUGGGGUCAGGGGGGACAGUGGGGUUAUGGGAGGUGAUGGCGGAGUAAAAGGGCUGGAAGCCAACGGGGGCCAACGAGGAGCACAGAGCUGUGGGGUUAUGGGGCGGUAUAGGGGUCGGCAGGGGGGUUACGGGGUCAGCUGGGGGGUUAUGGGGUGGGUUAUGGGGUUAUGGGGUCAGCAAGGGGGUUAUUGGGGGUGACGGCGUGGUAAAAGGGCUGGAAGCCAAUGGGGGCCAACGAGGAGCACAGAGCUGUGGGGUUAUGGGGCGGUUAUAGGGUCAGCUGGGGGGUUAUGGGGUCAGCUGGGGGGUUAUGGGGUCAGCAGGGGGGUUUAGGGUUUAUGGGGUCAGGGGGGUGUGAGGUUAUGGGGGAUAAUAGGGUGAGGGGAGGUGACGGUGUGGUAAAAGGGCUGGAAGCCAACGGGGGCCAACGAGGAGCACAGAGCUGUGGGGUUAUGGGGCGGUUAUAGGGUCAGCUGGGGGGUUACGGGGUCAGCAGGGGGGUUAUGGGGUGGGUUAUGGGGUUAUG